rnacentral:lncRNA from 1 species
UAUAAAUUUUUUAUUAAUAAAAUUUAUUCGAUAAUUUAAUAAAUAAUCGAUUAUCGAUAUGAAUAUUGAUAUCUCUAAUUGAAAUUUGUCCAAUGAAGUUGUCCAAUGAAGUUGUCUGCUUGAACGUACAUAUUUCUCAGCAAAUUCUAUCUAUCUAAGUGUUUUUAAACGAUUAUAGUGAUUUAUAUAAUGAUUCAUACAUUAUAACGAAGUGUUAACUCUGCAAACAUGUUCCCCGGACUAAUCUAUAAGAAAUAAUGAUAUCAUGUAACUUAUGUUACGAUUAUAUGGAUUAACCGUAAACUGGAAGAUCGAAAUCGUUGAUAAUUAGAUCAUAAACAUGAUGGCUGAUUUCGUGACGGCAUACGAAAACGAUCAAUCGAUAUCAAGAAGAUGCUUGUCUACGACAAAUUACGCUCCAGACGAUCAAGACAGUCAUCAAGACCUGAUCGAUUCAUUCAUCGCGAUUUCAUCAGUGAUAUUAGCGGCAUGCGAGCGACGUGUUCACCAAUUAUCGUGAAAUUUGCACACUGACAACUACAAUCUUUUCUCUUUUAUGUACGCGCGUGAUGAGAGUUGUUAAUGAUGACAUGAAUCAAUGUGAUAGCGUUGUAAAUCAAUUUUUAAUUGCGAUUCCGGCUCGAUCUGCUCUCGAUCAUUGUGACAGUGUUGCUAAUAUCGCGAAUGAAAUUCGACGGAUAAUGCAUUAUAGUGGAUUGUUCAUUUGAUUUUAAUAAUUAUCUGUCAACUUGUACACGAUAGAAAAAGAAAUCUAGUUCUAUGGCUGGUUUAAAAGCAUAAUGAAAUCAUAGUAAUAAUUAUAUAUGCAUAUCGUAAUUCAAAUCAUAAUUUCAAUAAAAAUCAUUAUGUUGUCGCUUUUUGAAUAUUGAUGUCGAAGAAUCAAUGUAUUGAUGAUAAAGAAAACGUGUCUCUCUCUCUCUCGGACCAUUUUAAACGUCUUUAUGAGUUUCGGCUGUUAACACGAUCAUGGAAACAGGAUCCUUCAUCACGUGGCGGAGGGGCGUAAAUAGGAAUUCGCGUGACACGUUAGUCUAAAAUUCGCGCGUGAGACAACGGAGGCCGCGAAUCGGUGUGUUCGCGAACACGCCACUUAUCAUAAUGCUUGCUUAAUGCUCGUUGCUGGAACGUGGUGUCUCGCGUGUAACCACCUUGUAGAGGAACGCCCGUGGGACCAACCAGACUUCCCUCUACGUGAUACGUUGACGAGGAUACGUGUGCGAGUGCAUCGAGAACAUUCCCACAAAUUGGCAGCGGCCUGUUCGAAUUGGGAGGGAAAUAGAGAGAGAGAGAGAGAGACGAGAAAAAAAGAAGAGAGAGAAAAUAUAGAAAAUAACGACGAUAAUACGAGGAGAGGCAGGAUACGUUUGUUAGCUUUGCUGUUCGUCCGGAAAACGCUGUAGGAUUCCGGGGUUCGGCCAAGGGGGUGACAGAGCGGCCAUUGUUAUUUCCGCUUACGCGAUGCUCUUUGAUCAGAAUAAAAUGAUAAUCACGCGUGCUGAAUGAAUAUGUUUCGCCGUAUUGCAAAUGCAUCGAGGCGAACAUGCCAAAUCGUGUACGAGAAGGAAUCAUUAUUUUUAUGGAUUAAUAUCACGGAUAACUCGAUAUUAUGAUAGAAACAACGACUGUAUAUCGAAGAAUAUAUAUGUAUAAAUAAAUAUUACAAAAAAGCAGCGAUCGACGGAGAGAUUUCAAACGAAAUCCCGUCUCGGUAUCAAUUUUAAUUAACAAAUAAUCGCGGAGGGCAAGGAAUAAUUAAUCAGGCCAGAUGGGUGCGCGGACACGUGUUAAACGGUCAUUCUGAGAGGACAGUUAAAGUCAAGGAUGGUCAUUUUCACCAACGGACGAUUUUAUCAACCCCUACUCGCGAGCUGUAAAUUAAUGACGAACUACCUGAUCUUGCCUCUGGAGAAUUCUCGUGUGCAUGGACGUUUUAUCAUCCUUUGCCGAUCGAUCCAUCGUGUCACGCAUACAUUAUCCGUGCUAUUAAUUAAUUUGCAGCUACGCCGCUUCGGAUACGCAUUGUAUCGUAAUACAUGUAUUAUAAUAUAUAAUCAAUAGGAUGGCGUGGAACAAAAGGAUAAUUCAUUAACCGUUAUCGACGGUUUAAUCGAAUCGAAAAGAGGCCUGGAACAUACAUUCGUUCCAGGACGAAAAGAAUCAAAGGUACGGUUGGAUCGAUCGAUCACGGUAUGGAUCCAUCGUUUGAAGUAUUUUCAUCGUCACGAUUCUGCGCAAAUCGAACCAGCAAACGGGAGAAAGGGACUAGCUUUGACCACGCGAUCCUGCCGCAUUUCGCCACAUCGCAUCGAUCCCCCAUGAGAUAAGCAGUAGUUUGCCCAGCCACUGAGACGAUCGACGUUAAUCGAAGUCGGGUAACCGCGCGUUUACAGCUAAGCGACAUGCAACUAGUGUCCGUUGCGGCCGCAACGACGCAAAAUGAAGAGAAGAAGGGAAACGAAGAGGAAGAAGGAGACGAAGAAAAGUUUCGUUGCAAGUGAAAAAUAUUCUUCCAUUUUCUAUCAAAAAUUUUCGAAAGAAAUUUUUACCAUUGUUUCGAAUAAUGGAGGAAAGGAGAAACUCGAUCAUAUGUCCUAUCUCCAAAUAAUAUCAGAACGUACGGUAAAUCUACUGGCUGAAUAAAACGUUUCAAACGCGUCAAGAGGGAACGCAGAAUAAUCGGAUGGCAGGAUAUAGCCAGGAGAAAGCGAAUAGAGGGAAGAAAAAUGGCGUGGAGUAGAGAGAGAGGUGAGCGCAAAGUCGGUGGAGCGCUGUCUCGUAAAUUUCGCAUGCACCCGUGUCGUUGGAUGCGGUAAGCCGUGUAAUGCUCGGCGCUGGCCACGGGGGGACGUAUCGCGCGCAUAAAAAUGAGUGAACUCGGUGCAUUAAGCCGAGUAAUGGGCGCCUUUGGGAGGAAACAGCAGCAUAGGCGCCGCAGCCUAGGUGUAAUACGCCAUGACAAAGUGGCGCGUCUGGCCUGUUGCGACGAGAGGAGGAUAUAGCUCGGCCUGCCUCGAUAUCCUUGACCAUCGUGUCCGGCCGCGUUCAGCGGCACCAGCACGCGUUGUAAGAAAGCGUAUCGCCGCGCGUCUCGUGUUCGCUUCAACUUGGCGGAAUAAUUAAUUCGAUCGAUCCGAGCCGCGCAAUUAAAUCGGGGUGUCGGUGCGCACUGAUAAGUAAACACCUCUAACGGGCCGGGUUGAUAUUACAUAAAUUUAUAUACGUCACAGGCCAGGAUCAGAGCAUCGGGCGGCGUGGUAUCGCGUGCCAAUUUACACGCGUAACCGCGGAUUCGAUCCACCUAUGAUUGGAUUAAUAAGUAUGGAAGCAAUAUUAUGUAACAUAUCGCGAGUUCUGUAAAGUAUAUAUAUAUGUAUAUAUAGUUUGAUCGAGCAACAUCGAAAUGGUAGUAACGUGCAAUACAAUACUACACGUGUAACGAUUUUCGAUCAUCAGAAACGCGAGAAAUCGAAAAUGUCUAAAGUUUUCUUUUCUUACCAAUAACGAAGAGCGUUUCGCCGCGAGCGAUGGAGGUCAAGAACCGUUGCUAGCUCACAAUAUUUCAACUUGUUGCGAUGCGUGAUAUACUAGAUUCGCGAUACGCUACAACGAACGACGUUACACACACACACAUAUACAUCGAGUUCAUCUAUCGCGUCUAUCGUUUUCGACCGUGUAUCCUCAAUAGCUACGAUACGCUAUGACUACGCAACGCGAUUUUUCUGAGACUCUCGAUCGAGUUGACGAUUACGUUACAGCUCGUUAAUAGGGGCGCGAUGAAGUUGAGGUGCAGCAAUUUGAUGGUGUGAACGGGUUAUUACGGUUUACAGCGCCCUAUUCAUCGAGGGCGGAAGGCAUUUCGUCGGAUCGUCGCAAAUAAUCGUGGAUGGGUAACGACAAAAAGCGCGCCACUUCUAAGCGCUACGAGAUUCCCCCUUGUACGGUUAGAAACCUGUGCGCCCCACUAUCGGCGCACACGAUUGCGCAUGCGCGGUUGCCGUGCGCCGGCCGCGUUGGCGCCAACCGGCGCGGCGGGGUUCCACUUUGGCCAUGGUUCGCGCAGUCAAAGGCACUUUUUCGCGAUUGUUUGCGGAAGAACGACGCGGUUUGCGAAGCCAACCGGGGCCUUGUACAAGUCUUUACACCGCGGCCAUGAAAGCGAUCGUUUUUUCUUUUACAUAGGAUCCUUUCGAUGGAAUACUCGCCGCGAAAAAGCCGCCCGUGUGAAUCGCAUUUUGCCGCGCUUUUCGCGCGCGCGGAAGGGAGCAGUGCAUCGGUUCAAGAGGCGGAGAGGCACGCGGAUAGAGAGUGGGAUUAAUUGUUUUCUUUGUACCGCGAAGGAAGCAUCAUAGGCGCCACAGCUCCACAUUUGGAACGAAUUAAUUAACAAUAAGUCUGUUACCGUAAGUGGACUCGUCGGAUUUAAUUAGCGCUCGAGGGUUCUCUGUCGGUUUCAAUACUGUUGACGGGAAAAUCAAGAUGGCGGAAGUGAUUAAGUUUAAUACGAAAUCCUCGAGGGUCUUUAACGGAUAUUGACGGUGAACUCUUACUUUUAUAUCUAUAGCGGGAUCGAUCAAAAGAACUUUUCCGAUAAAAUCUCUUCCUUUACAAAAUGGCGACACAAGCGCAUAACGUCGAUUUUUCGUAUAACGAUAAUACGUUCACCAGUGUCAAAGGAUUUUGAAAUACGAUUAUCGUCACCCGUUUCGAAAAUAAAAAAAAAGAAAGAAAGAAAGAAAGAGACGUAUGCAAUACGUACGCAUCAUGAGGCGAGCACGCGCGCGUCGCAACGUUAUCGAAUUCACUGACGAUUACCGGUUUUAUCGACGAUAAAUAACCACGACACUAUGUUGUAAUCUUGUGAAAUGUAAAUGGUGGCCCGAGUGAAAUAGUAAUUAUAAAUUUUUCCUGCGUGGCAAACGUUGGCGCUGGUCAACGUAGAUGCCGCUUUUGUGUCAUUAUAUAUUACACGAGGCCAUUUGCACUUCUCGGCCGGGCCGUAAUCCGCGAGACACGGACAUGGAAAACGCGAUACGUAUGCGAAUGAGCCAAUCCCGCCCCGUACAUAAAUUAGAAUAUAACUCCCGCGGCUGAACGCGUCUAAGAAAUUGCAUUUUCUCUCCGCGAGAAUAUUGAAAGCAUUAUAAAAAAUCUUUACGCGUGCACGCUCGAUCGCUCGAACGGUUGCUCAUGAAUAUUUAUUCGCGGCAAUAACUUUUCUGUCGGCGCGUCUAUACCAUCGCUAUGAAAUCGCGACGAUUUGCUGACGAUCCGACGAGUAUCGGGUACGAGUCGGGUAGAAAACGUUAUGAAAACGUGGUUAACAAUGUUGUUUCUAGUAAUGGAGGUGUGUUUCGUGAUUUCAUAUGUUGUCGAAUGUACAUAUUUCCAAUGUAUUUUUGUUACCUAGUUUUAUUUAUUUUUAUUUUUUUUUUUUGAUCGAUGUUUCCAAUAGAUUGCUGUUCGAGAUUACGUACAGUAGACGAUAUAUAAAUGAUAACGAUUUUAUGGAAUAUGAUGAUUAUUAAGAACGAUUUAUAAAGAUCGUUAAAUACUGCGCUUUAAAAGGAACAAAGUUUAUUUAUGAUCGAGUGGAAAAUUAAAAAAAAAAAAAAAAUUGUAAAAAUUCUUAUUAUAAAAGAUUGGCGAAAAGUUGGAGGGAUUCCUAAUAAGGACAUUUCGCAAGGAGAAAUCGCUUUGGGAAAUUUACUUUGAAAUAAAGAAGGAAGGAGAGAACAAGAGGGAGGAUAUAACAGGAAAUAAUAGGGAAAGUAAUGAGAAGCGGGUUUUUCCCCCUAGAGGUUAAAUUAAACAAGAUUCUUUCGUUCCUCUAUCUUCGUUCGCCCAUCUUGAAUUUAUUUGUCUCGCUCGCAGGAAUCAAGACGCUUUACAUUUCAUGCCGCAUAAAUUGUAUGUUAACUAUAGGUGGAGGAAGGUCGAUAUUCACCGUGAAACAAGAGCAAAAAAAAAAAAAAAAAAGUAUCGUAAGAAUGAAACGGCAAGAAGAAACGGUCCUUUAUUAAGUACUCUUGCCUUUAAACGGCUUUCAAGCCCGAGUAAAAACUUGCCCCCACCUCGUAAUCUUAUUAAUCAAACAAUCCUUCACGUCCCGAAAAUUGCCUAUAAUUCGAUCACAUUUUCACGAAAUAUUAAUCAUCCCAAUAAAUUAAUCGCGCUUCCUCUUCGAAGAUAUUCGUUGUCAA